AUAACGACUCUCGGCAACGGAUAUCUCGGCUCUCGCAUCGAUGAAGAACGUAGCGAACUGCGAUACUUGGUGUGAAUUGCAGAAUCCCGUGAACCAUCGAGUCUUUGAACGCAAGUUGCGCCCGAAACCUUGGUACCAAAGUUACUUUCCCUGUGUGUCACA
rnacentral:rRNA from 1 species